UAAUACGGAGGGGGUUAGCGUUGUUCGGAAUGACUGGGCGUAAAGCGCGCGUAGGCGGAUCGCAAAGUUGGGGGUGAAAGCCCAGGGCUCAACCCUGGAAUUGCCUUCAAGACUCGCGGUCUGGAGUUCGAGAGAGGUGGGUGGAAUUCCGAGUGUAGAGGUGAAAUUCGUAGAUAUUCGGAGGAACACCAGUGGCGAAGGCGGCCCACUGGCUCGACACUGACGCUGAGGCGCGAAAGCGCGGGGAGCAAACAGGAUUAGAUACCCUGGUAGUCCGCGCCGUAAACGAUGAAUGCCAGACGUCGGGGGGCUUGCCCUUCGGUGUCACACCUAACGGAUUAAGCAUUCCGCCUGGGGAGUACGGCCGCAAGGUUA
rnacentral:rRNA from 1 species